UACGAGUGGUGCAAGCGUUAUCCGGAAUUAUUGGGCGUAAAGAGCUCGUAGGCGGUUUGUCGCGUCUGCCGUGAAAGUCCGGGGCUCAACUCCGGAUCUGCGGUGGGUACGGGCAGACUAGAGUGAUGUAGGGGAGACUGGAAUUCCUGGUGUAGCGGUGAAAUGCGCAGAUAUCAGGAGGAACACCGAUGGCGAAGGCAGGUCUCUGGGCAUUAACUGACGCUGAGGAGCGAAAGCAUGGGGAGCGAACAGG
rnacentral:rRNA from 1 species